ACAUGCGAUCACAACAAGUCUGUUUCUGCAUUGUAAUUAUCUAUCGUGUCGGUUUUAGUAAAAAAUAUGAAUCAAACUUCUUGUGUCUUUCUGUUUCAUUUUAAGUUACCGUACAUGCGCAAUAAAAAAACUCCAUCAUAACCAACAACACACCACAUCCUCUACGUUAACGUUAUUUUCUGAAACAAGUCUGAUAUGUGACAUGAACACUAUGUUACAAACACCUUAAUGUACCUUGACAGUUAGCAUUAAUGUUCCGUUAACAUUGCAUUGCUCGUAUUUAACGUGGUGGACCAUAUUUUCCAACCACACGCAGACGCCUGUUUACCGGCUCAUGUUGUGUUGUGUUGAUCCUGCUAGCCUUGUCAGCAGAGCCGGAGUCGUGCUCGAGGCUAACCCCAGGCUAGCUGGCUAAUAAGCGCUUUAGCGAGCUAAGCUAAUGAGCCAGGUGCUCUGUUGCUAUGAAUCCAGAAAGAGGGUCAGAGGCCACCAGGCGCAGGGUUGUCUACAAGAAGACCAGUGUAAUGGUCCAGAAGAAAUCUCCUGCAGUCACAGGGAUCCAGACUCACUUUUUUUACAAGGAGCGCUUUGUGAAUCUGGAAUAAUGCUGCAGAUUGGAACAGUAAUGAUUAAUGUGAUGGUCAUCUGUCCUGGAACAACAAGAUUUGAAUCAGGACUGUCCACACCCACCCAGACUCUUCAUGGUACCUCCCACAGGAACUAAGAGGGCAGUCUCUGACAAGGAAUUAGAGAAUUUUUGUUUAUUGCCACAGUUCUAAUCGGCUCUUUCUGUUUUUUACUAAAAUCUUGCUGAUUUCUCUGGGUCAUCCAACAGGUUUUCUUUUUCUAUUUUGACAGUAGCAGUAUUCAUGUUGACACUCCCCUUUCAAAUAAAUGUAUUUGAUUUUUAUCCUUUCUAAGUGUUUAUUGUUCAUUAUGCAUAAUAUUCAUCAUGAUGCAUAUUUUAAUGAAUUUGUCUGUAGCACACAGGACAAUGAUGUUCUAAUGUUAAAUGCAUUGAAGACUGAUAUUUUAGAUAAUAUUUAUACUGCUAAAUUGAUUCAUUGUAUUAUCUACUGUACCUGUCUACAGUAAACUAUGAAAGUUAAAGUAACACCCUGAACAACUUGUUAUUCCAAAUAGUCACAGAAAUAUGCUGCAUUUAAUU
rnacentral:lncRNA from 1 species